AUUAGAAUUGUAACAAAUGUCUUCGUUAGUACUAUAUUGUAUUUCGCAGGAUGUUCCUUGACAGAUUGGUUCUGUGGACUGUGGUGCGUUCAUGUUGAUUGUUGUCACGUCACGGAUCGGGGAAGCAGGAGCAGGAAGACGGAGAAUCGGGGAACAAAGGAUUUAUUGGGGAAACCAGCUAGGAACACGGGACAAUAGAAGUAGCGACUUAAAUGACAUGAUUGGGGAAACAUAUUUUGAAGCGGAGUUAAAUACAUAGGACUAAUGAAAACAACUGGAAACAGCGAAUGACAUCGGGGUUCCACACGAGGUUAACGAGGGGGCGUGGCACACGGGAGGAGCGGACAAGCGGCGCAUGACAAUUUGAGUUGCAGGGAUUUGACAAAAACAUCCUUUUAGAAAUGCGUGAGGAAGGUCAAGACUCUGGUCUCCAGCUCACCGCUCUCUCUUACAUUUCCAU